GACGAACGCUGGCGGCGUGCUUAACACAUGCAAGUCGAACGGAAAGGCCCUGCUUUUGUGGGGUGCUCGAGUGGCGAACGGGUGAGUAACACGUGAGUAACCUGCCCUUGACUUUGGGAUAACUUCAGGAAACUGGGGCUAAUACCGGAUAGGAGCUCCUGCUGCAUGGUGGGGGUUGGAAAGUUUCGGCGGUUGGGGAUGGACUCGCGGCUUAUCAGCUUGUUGGUGGGGUAGUGGCUUACCAAGGCUUUGGCGGGUAGCCGGCCUGAGAGGGUGACCGGCCACAUUGGGACUGAGAUACGGCCCAGACUCCUACGGGAGGCAGCAGUGGGGAAUAUUGCACAAUGGGCGGAAGCCUGAUGCAGCAACGCCGCGUGCGGGAUGACGGCCUUCGGGUUGUAAACCGCUUUCGCCUGUGACGAAGCGUGAGUGACGGUAAUGGGUAAAGAAGCACCGGCUAACUACGUGCCAGCAGCCGCGGUGAUACGUAGGGUGCGAGCGUUGUCCGGAUUUAUUGGGCGUAAAGGGCUCGUAGGUGGUUGAUCGCGUCGGAAGUGUAAUCUUGGGGCUUAACCCUGAGCGUGCUUUCGAUACGGGUUGACUUGAGGAAGGUAGGGGAGAAUGGAAUUCCUGGUGGAGCGGUGGAAUGCGCAGAUAUCAGGAGGAACACCAGUGGCGAAGGCGGUUCUCUGGGCCUUUCCUGACGCUGAGGAGCGAAAGCGUGGGGAGCGAACAGGCUUAGAUACCCUGGUAGUCCACGCUGUAAACGGUGGGUACUAGGUGUGGGGUCCAUUCCACGGGUUCCGUGCCGUAGCUAACGCUUUAAGUACCCCGCCUGGGGAGUACGGCCGCAAGGCUAAAACUCAAAGGAAUUGACGGGGCCCCGCACAAGCGGCGGAGCAUGCGGAUUAAUUCGAUGCAACGCGUAGAACCUUACCUGGGUUUGACAUGGAUCGGGAGUGCUCAGAGAUGGGUGUGCCUCUUUUGGGGUCGGUUCACAGGUGGUGCAUGCCUGUCGUCAGCUCGUGUCGUGAGAUGUUGGGUUAAGUCCCGCAACGAGCGCAACCCUUGUUCACUGUUGCCAGCACGUUAUGGUGGGGACUCAGUGGAGACCGCCGGGGUCAACUCGGAGGAAGGUGGGGAUGACGUCAAGUCCUCAUGCCCCUUAUGUCCAGGGCUUCACGCAUGCUACAAUGGCUGGUACAGAGAGUGGCGAGCCUGUGAGGGUGAGCGAAUCUCGGAAAGCCGGUCUCAGUUCGGAUUGGGGUCCGCAACUCGACCUCAUGAAGUCGGAGUCGCUAGUAAUCGCAGAUCAGCAACGCUGCGGUGAAAAAGUUCCCGGGGCU
rnacentral:rRNA from 1 species